rnacentral:rRNA from 1 species
AGCAGUCGCCGCGGUAAUACGUAGGUGGCAAGCGUUGUCCGGAAUUAUUGGGCGUAAGGGGCUCGCAGGCGGUUUCUUAAGUCUGAUGUGAAAGCCCCCGGCUCAACCGGGGAGGGUCAUUGGAAACUGGGAAACUUGAGUGCAGAAGAGGAGAGUGGAAUUCCACGUGUAGCUGUGAAAUGCGUAGAGAUGUGGAGGAACACCAGUGGCGAAGGCGACUCUCUGGUCUGUAACUGACGCUGAGGAGCGAAAGCGUGGGGAGCGAACAGGAUUAGAUACCCCUGUAGUCCCUGUCUCUUAUAC